CCUAUGAAUGUCUGUGGACUAUAUAGUGUUAGCUAAUUGGGAUGGUACAUAAAAGUUGAGCUGGCUUUAUUUGUUUGUAUAGUAAUUGUCUUGUAUUAUAUUCACCAUGUUUUCAUUAAGUUAACUAUUUGUUUUGUAUGUGUUUUAUUGUCACUAAAGAAUGUCUCCAGUAUAGCUAGCUAACACUAACGUGAUGCCGUCUUUCUAGACUGAGCAUGCGCUGUUGUCCACACGACAUGACGGAACUGUGUGGUCCUUUGUGAUGAAUGCAGGUGCUGAGGACGAUUGGCCGCUUGGGAAUACACCUCAGAACUGGUUCUGGCUUGCGUCGUAAGCCGCUCGUGGGCCUGGUGUGGUUACGGGUUUUAAAGAUCACCACCUUUUGCUCACGUGAGGGAUUACCGACUUCCAUGUUUGUUCUGUUCGUUGGCGGUGCCAAAACAAAGACGAAUAAAUGACAUGCCCCCAAGAUAACUUUAGAGUGUGAUG